UGGACGGAUUAUUGUAUUCGACUGUAUUCACGGCGUUAAAUAGGGGAUUACACUGUUUUUAAAACGGAAAGUGAAUCAAUUAGUAACAUAAUAGACUCCU
rfam:Nicotiana attenuata strain TT chromosome 7, whole genome shotgun sequence.